ACAGUGGACGCGAGCAUCUGUGGCCAAGUUUAUAAGGGCGCACGGUGGAUGCCUUGGCACCAGGAACCGAUGCAUGACGUGGGAGGCCACGAUAGUCCCCGGGGAGCUGUCAACCAAGCUUUGAGCCGGGGGUUUCCGAAUGGGGAAUCCCGGGAGUCGUCAUGGGCUGUCAACCGCUGCUGAACUCAUAGGCUGUGUGGAGGGUACUUGGGGUAGUGUAACAUCUGUGGACCGACUGGUAGAGUUAACAACAGUUUUUGGUGGAGUAGUGGCGAGGGUAUCUGGUUGUGGACUAUCCGUAUGCGUUUGAUACGCGGCGGUGGUUGAGGAUGCUGGGUUGUGGG
rnacentral:rRNA from 1 species